AUUGCUUGAUCUUGGAAGGUUGAGGCUGCAGUAAGCUGUGAUCACGCCACUGCACUCCAGCCUGAGUGACAGAGCAAGACCCUGUCU
ensembl:miRNA